GACGGGCACCCGCACAAGCAGUGGAGUAUGUUCAUUAAUUCGACGCAACGCGAAGAACCUUACCAGGGUUUGACAUCCUGCUAACGAGAUAGAGAUAUGUUAGGUGCCCCUUAUGGGGAAAGCAGAGACAGGUGGUGCAUGGUUGUCGUCAGCUCGUGUCGUGAGAUGUUGGGUUAAGUCCCGCAACGAGCGCAACCCCUAUUGUUAGUUGCUACGCAAGAGCACUCUAGCGAGACUGCCGUUGACAAAACGGAGGAAGGUGGGGACGACGUCAAAUCAUCAUGCCCCUUAUAUCCUGGGCUUGAAACGUACUACAAUGGCGAAGAACAAAGGGAUGCGAAGCCGCGAGGCAGAGCGAACCCCCAAAAUUCGUCCCAGUUCAGAUUGUAGGCUGCAGCCCGCCUGCAUGAAGUCGGAAUUGCUAGUAAUCGUGGAUCAGCAUGCCACGGUGAAUACGUUCCCGGGUGUUGUACACACCGCCCGUCAAGCCAUGAGAAUCGCAAACACCCGAAGUCAGUAGUCUAACCGGAAGGAGGGCGCUGCCGAAUUUGGGUGUGGG
rnacentral:rRNA from 1 species